rnacentral:misc_RNA from 1 species
UAUAUUUUCAUAGGGGUUCCCUCUCAUAAAAGGGAGUAGUUUCCCCUUAGGAAGAGUUAGGGAAAGCGCAAUUGAAUUAAUGAGGAUAACUAGGCUUAUUAACUAUUGCAUGUAAGUUCACCCUCCCAGGCCCAGUUGAUGCAGGAAGCUCACGCGUUAAACAACUAUUAAAUACUUUUAUCUACCAAAAAGAAAGUAGAGGCAGCCAAAUUGAAGUUGCAAAAUAGCAUACAACAUAUUUACUU